rnacentral:lncRNA from 1 species
GCCCGCUCGGCCUCCCGUUCGUUAUCGUGGCUUCUGGAGUCUUCUAGAUGAUAGAAAAUUGCGCGGCACGUUAAUAUCUCUAUGUAAACCGGACAUGUGGGCCUUUCCUCCAUAUUUCCUGAUAACCCCCUACAGAAAUAGACAAACACCAAAACUCGUAGAAUUCUGUCAGAUAAAACCCUAAGUCUGGGUGUUGGUUGCAUUUGGAUCCUUUUCUUUCUUUAUUUGAUGAUUAAAUUUGGUACUUAAGGACCAUCAACAAACUCCCCCAAGCUUACCUCUUGCUCGUCCCAGAGCAAGGAUGGACUCAAGAGUUUCUGCAGUGAUUUUAUGCCUUAAAUGUACACAUGCGUUCAAAGAAGAUCUCAUCUCUGGGUUAGGGUAAACUGUUAAGAUUUAAACUUACUCAUUUUUCCUUCCACCAUGGGGCUUGCAACCGUCACUUGUGUCUUGAGCAGUUAAAAGAUAGAACGGUCAAGUCAAGCGCAAUGUCUCUUGUUCUUUGAUCAACUAUAGCUCUGGAGUUUUUGUAGAUUUUCAAAAUAAAACUCAGAGAUUCCUUGUAUGACUCUCUCAAUUCUCUCUUUUGUGGUAUUUCUAGAUCCUUACCAAGGAAGUAAUGGUAUAUGCCUUCUCUCAAAGUAUGUGGUAUUUUUGGUAUGAGGCAUAGUGACAUUGCUUUCUCUCUCACCCUACUCAAAUGAGGCUUUGAUAUCUGGAGCUCAUAGGUGGGAGACAGCUAACACAUGCUUACAAGACAUUUAUUGCAUAGUCAAACCAUGGAUCCAGAGAAACAAGUCAAUAAGUCAAAUCAAGAUGUGCAUGUGUGGCGAAUGAAUGGUGUAUGGUGAUGAUGGUGAUAAUGGUGAAAACAAUGGUGAAAGUCUAAUUCUACUUUUGCUCUUUUGAGGGGAUACAUACCUUUCUUGCACUUUGAAACUUUUUGAGGGGAAUGAGAUGCUCUAUAUUUUCUUUUUUUUUCUUUUCUCUCAGGUGGGUAUCUUGUACCCCCUAAUUCUACUAUCAGACACUUGUCUAUUUUUACCUCUCGUCUCACUUUUUCAUUUCUUUUGAGGUUCCGGGCACUGGCCCCUUUUUAUUUCCCCGUAUUCACUUUUUCUUUUUUUUGAGCACUCACCCUCCUGGAAUAAUGUGGCAAGUGGUAGUAACCAAAAUAUCUCGAGCAUUUAUUUCACGGGGAAUAACAGGGAUAGGAUAAUGUUUUUGGCUAUUCUCUCCUGGAUAGGAGUAGGAUAAUUUUGGGUAAAUCUGGAGAUGGAGAUGAGUGGAUGUAUGUGGAUGCAUACUUCCGGAGUAGAAGCAGCAUGUAUGAGUGAACGUGCAAGUGGAUCUUGAUUUUAACCGCAUGACAAGCUCCUAAGGGUCUACACAGCUUGACCACACUCAAUGCUCAUAAGUAGUAAAAAGUAAAUGUGUGGUUCAUAGUCUAAUAAGCAUGUAUAUGUGGCUGUGGUAGGAUUUUAAACUCUCAUCAUACAGGAACUCAUCAUGCAACAUUUUAAAGAUUUUCAAAGAUAAAAUUCUGCAGAAUUCUAGCAUCUCUAGGAACAGAUAAAUACCAGCUCAACCUUCCCAUAUCGUAUCCAUUAACGACUUAGACUUUAGAUCAAGUACUCUUCCCACAAGUUCAGGUUUAGAGCAAAUCUUAAUUCAUAACAGUCAUGCCUAAACUUGAGAGAGAUUUCAAUUUUAAGAACUAGUCAUGGCAGAGCAACUAUUCAUCAUUUCUAUGUGAGAGCUUAUCAUGAGGGUUCAUAGCAAACUUUAUUUAUUUAUUUGUUUAGCAAACUAAGAAAAGAUAUAUAUAAGCAUAAAAUCUUUAUUUGGGUUUUCAUGAUUAUGCAUCUUUUUAUUAUUUGAGUAAAGUAUAAACGCGAGUAGAAACACUUAGCUCGAUAAAUGGGGGUGCUCUCCCCCAAGCUGGAUUUUGAUGUAAUUUCUUCUGAUGUAGCUAGCAGGUGGCAGAGGUGUAUUUGAAUGUCGGCAGUACCCUGACAGCGAUUAGGAUGUUCUCCGUCUGCUAGUCUUCUUUGAUCCUUAAAUUCUAUGGAGCUCAAAUAGACAACAAAGCUUUGUGGAACUGGUUAAGUGUUAGCAUAAAAUCUCUUUGCCUUUAUCAUGUUGAGCUUCCUCUAAUAAAUAUUACUCUCUUUGGUAGGAUCAUAAAGUUAUUUUUAUAUUUUCAGGAAUAUUUUUAUUUUUACGCCACCACAGUGAAUGUACUUAUGGGUUUUAUACCGCGAGCAUACUCACAUGGGGCUUACUAUUUUUAACAUUUUUAAUUUCUUUUCAAGAUAGCAUGAUUAACUAACAAGCCAUUUAAGGAAAGUAAAUAAUUUAAGCGAAAAAGGGAAUGCAGAAAGGAUAAAUAUGGAUAACUACCGAUUUUACCUUUCGGCGAGGGUUGAAUGUUUUAAGUCUUCUGAACAAGACUUCUCACCGUGUUCAUUCUUCAGGUGCGUCAUUUGAUUCAGGUGUGGACCUUGACGUCUGCACCUCUUGAUACAGUGUCACCCAUGUUCUUAGUUUGCCCAGUAGUUCAAAGUGCGGCGUUGGCAGUAUCUUGCUCAGUGUGUUUGUGCUCGUAGAUCCAGGUCCUUCACUUGGUAGAGUGUGAGAGUUAUAAAAUUCCUCCAUGUUUUGCUCGAAGUGUACCUGCUCAUAGAGACAAGGCAGAGAUCAAGUGCAUGGGUCCUGUUGGUGGAAAACACCAAU